GUGACCCCGUUACCCGCCACUGGGGCCUAACCCGGACUCGGAGGGCUCGCGGAUUAGCCGCCCGCCAGCCGUGGAAAUGUGAUAAGAGCCGUGCGGUUUGCAGAAGGAAAUUUCUGAUGCAACUCUCCUCCUUCGCUGAUUGCCUCUCCGAACGCCGCUCGGAGAAGGCCCCGCGGCACGGGCCGUAUGGAAAUGAGGAAGGAAGCGUGGAUCUCCACAAAGUCAUGUGUUUGAUCUGCUGGAUGUUUAUUGUGAUGAGAACAGCGUUUUAAUAAAAGUUGUGUAUCCCUGAA